CCUACGGGCGGCAGCAGUGAGGAAUAUUGGUCAAUGGACGAGAGUCUGAACCAGCCAAGUAGCGUGAAGGAUGACUGCACUAUGGGUUGUAAACUUCUUUUAUAUGGGAAUAAAAUGUUCCACGUGUGGGAUUUUGUAUGUACCAUAUGAAUAAGGAUCGGCUAACUCCGUGCCAGCAGCCGCGGUAAUACGGAGGAUCCGAGCGUUAUCCGGAUUUAUUGGGUUUAAAGGGAGCGUAGGUGGAUUGUUAAGUCAGUUGUGAAAGGUUGCGGCUCAACCGUAAAAUUGCAGUUGAAACUGGCAGUCUUGAGUACAGUAGAGGUGGGCGGAAUUCGUGGUGUAGCGGUGAAAUGCUUAGAUAUCACGAAGAACUCCGAUUGCGAAGGCAGCUCACUGGACUGCAACUGACACUGAGGCUCGAAAGUGUGGGUAUCAAACAGGAUUAGAUACCCCAGUAGUC
rnacentral:rRNA from 1 species